rnacentral:lncRNA from 1 species
AGAACUAAAGCACCUUGCAAGGAAUGAAGUUGGUUCUUGAAGUCCGUGCUGACUGGCUGGGCGCAUUUGCGCAUUUGCUUCUCUGGCUGCAAAAUGGCCCGCAACAGCACUCACUAAUUUGUUGCUAACUUCAGGAACUGUGCGGACAGGUCUCUGAGGCUUCUGAGCCGCGCUAUGUCCAGUAGAUCUGGGCGCCUCAGAACCUGUCACAGCCGACGGAAGCGUUUAUCUGAGUUUCUUGUUUCUUCCCAACCUUUUGAUUUUCGCACCAUUACGCGCUCAACUAUGCCUCUUCUUUUGUCCUAUGCCCUUUAUAUUUGACAUCAGCUUCCCCCACAUUCUCCAAAGCUUCUCUCACAAAUAAAGCCAGGUGCUCAGGCUGAGAAGAUUCAAGGAAAGGGUUCCUCACGUAGUUAUACAGUUGUGUUCCAGGGGAAGGAAAAUAUUGUUCGGUUUUGUUCUGCAAUUCCCCACGGUGGUUUUCGCUUCUAGAGACCUCACCAGAAACUGAUGCCAGCACCAUGCUUCCUGUAAAGCCUCCAGAACCAUAAGCCAAUUAAACCUCUUUCUUUAUAAAUUACCUAGCCUUGGGCAUUUCUUUACAGCAAUGCAAAAAAAAACAAAAAUGCUGGUUUCCACAGCCAUUCUUUAUCUUCAAAGAAUUUGGUAAAAUCUGGG